UAAAGCCUAGGAAUCUGCCUGGUAGUGGGGGACAACGUUUCGAAAGGAACGCUAAUACCGCAUACGUCCUACGGGAGAAAGUGGGGGAUCUUCGGACCUCACGCUAUCAGAUGAGCCUAGGUCGGAUUAGCUAGUUGGUGAGGUAAAGGCUCACCAAGGCGACGAUCCGUAACUGGUCUGAGAGGAUGAUCAGUCACACUGGAACUGAGACACGGUCCAGACUCCUACGGGAGGCAGCAGUGGGGAAUAUUGGACAAUGGGCGAAAGCCUGAUCCAGCCAUGCCGCGUGUGUGAAGAAGGUCUUCGGAUUGUAAAGCACUUUAAGUUGGGAGGAAGGGCAGUAAGUUAAUACCUUGCUGUUUUGACGUUACCAACAGAAUAAGCACCGGCUAACUUCGUGCCAGCAGCCGCGGUAAUACGAAGGGUGCAAGCGUUAAUCGGAUUACUGGGCGUAAGCGCGCGUAGGUGGUUCGUUAAGUUGGAUGUGAAGCCCCGGCUCACCUGGAACUGCAUCAAAACUGUCUAGCUAGAGUAUGGCAGAUGGUG
rnacentral:rRNA from 1 species